GUCCCCAUCGUCUAGCCCGGUUAGGACAAGAGCUUUUCAAGCUCUCGACAGGGGUUCAAAUCCCCUUGGGGACA
rnacentral:tRNA from 1 species